CCCCCGUCUGCAGAGGGGCAGGCGUCCAGCUUGUUCUGAAUGGUUGGAUGUAGCAGUGAGGGCGCCCAGACAAGCAGAGCAGAGGAUUAGUGGCGGCUGUUGGACAUUUGGUUUCUACAUUAGCCCUAUUAUUUUUUUUUUUUUCCUAAGCUGUUAGUGUUGGCACUUUCUAUAUGGAGCCACUUUUUUAAACACCUGUUGCAGAUGUGAGAAAUUCCUGCCUGCAGUCUCAUGAUGUCACGCUCUGCCGCCUCCUUCCCCCGCUCUGCUCUAAUUAAGUGAAGUUGCUGUACCUGAGAAGAUUAUUUUGUAUACCAGCCUAUCCCAGGGUGUAACUGCCAGAUUCUUGAAAGUCACUGUCCUGGACUAUGGAUUCCCCUUCUGUCUCUGCCCUGCUCUCGUACUACAAGUGGAUCAGUCAGUCAGUGAUUCGGAUCACUCAGACGGAUCCCUUGGAUCCACAGAUCAGAACCAAUGCAACCUCCCGGCUUCUGAAAAGUGGUUCCUGUGUGUGCACCAGUCACUUCCUGUUCCUGCUACACCAGUUUACUCA